AUGGAGGGGGAGGGGAGGGAAGCGCAGGGCAGGGGGUAUUUUUUAACCAGGGGCAGCGGCUCGGGUUGCAGGGCGGGCGGCCGCACCCCACGCUGCGCUCGCGCGGCAUUCCGGGGCGAUCGGCGCCGCAGCCCCGCGCCCACGCGCUGCGCCCCUUGCUUCGAGAGGCCGACAGACUGCCCUCGCCCUUCCCAGCCCGGUCCUGCCCGCCCGGUUGAGAAUACCUUGGCUGCAGCAGCUGCUCGGCGUGGGCGGACCCCGGCCGGGACUCUCUCCCGGCUGCCCCUCCCCGGUCCGGCCCCGCAGCGCCCCGGCUCCUAGCCCGCUCCCCGCCCCCACCCACCCCGCGCCCCGGGGCGCAGGCCCGGAGCUCAGCCACCGCCUCAGUGGCUCGAUGCGUCCGGGCGGGGUUUGGGAAGCCGGCCCUCCAGGCCGGAGCUCGCGGUGUGACCUUAGGUAAGUCCCUGCCCUGCUCAGCCCCGUUCUCUCCGGUUUCGCUUUCCGUGGGGUGGACAGUGGCAAGGGCGAGAGCCUCUCUUUCUCCAGGGUCCUGGGGUUUCAUGCACCAGGAAACUCCCUCGUGCUGCGUGACCCCAGGACAGUGACCCCGGGAUAGGGCUACAGGGGCUUUGAGCAGGGCUGCAGGCCCACCUCGGACUCUUGAUUCCACCUGGCCCUGGCACACCGCAAGAGGUUGGAGGAUCAAAAUGUGGGAAGGCCCUGGAGUGACCCCCCCCCCCCCAGCCUAGGGUUCUUCACUGGUAUUGGAGUCCCAGCCUAGCAACUGCUUGGAGCCCCUAUGUGGUGUAUAGACAAGCAGCCUGCUCCGGAAAUUGUGCAUAGUCUUCCUGCAAUUCAGGACCUGUGAUCCCCCAAAAGGUAACAACCACUGAUGUAAUGGGACCCCACUCUCACCCCAAGGUUGCAGAUAGGGCAAACUGAGGCGUCUAAAGUGUGUUUGCUGAACUCUCUCACCUGGUGAGUCAGGGCUGGAAACAGCUUCAGGGCUCUUUGACCUCCACCAGUAAGCAUUUAUGUGUCAGAUCUUUUUGUUUGUUUGUUGAGACAGAGGUUUACUAUGUUCCUGGCUUUCAUGAAACUCACAGCAAUCCUCCUGCCUCAGCCUCCUAGUGUUGGGGUGCUGGGAGUAUAGGCAUGUGCCCCACUUUUAUGGGUCAGAGCCUAACUAAACCUUUCUGAGGGAAUUCUUUCCAUGGCAGAGACCCAGGGCUAAGGCAAAUCAGUCCUUGCUGGGAGAAGGGAUUCUCCCUGGGCAGUUUGGGAAUCAAGGAAGUCCUGAUUUCCAUAGACAUCAUUAGGUGCUGGGAAGGGUUUUCCUAGGAGAAAGAACAGCAAAGUCAAGGUCUAGACACAAUGGUGGCAAACUUAUGGCACGCAUGCCCCAGCAGGCUAUGUCUUCCCACUGCAAGCUCUAAAAGGUUUGCCGUCACUGGCAGAGACUGGGGGACAUGCACCUGCAAGUUUCUCAUGGCUGCACUGCGGGGAGCAGAGGUCUGAGAGAGGAAAGAUGUCCUAGAAACACGGCAGAUAGCACUCCUCCCCACAGCCUGCGCCUUUACAGUCCCCACAGUGCCUUUCACAAACCUGUCAUCCUACUGACUACAUUUAACUGUCCCUCAUGGGCACUGCCUGUCUUCUACAUGUCCGGGGCAUUGGCCUCACCUGGGCAUAGGAUGGUGAAUACCUCAGCCCUGGCCCCCCUCUGAUGGGCAGACCUUGAACCAGGUGUUACUCAGAAAAUCUGCUGGGAGGAAGAGGUGUUGGUGUAAAGGAAAGGCCCCGCUGGCUCUGGUCCAGGUGUCAGGGUCAGUAUUCAUCAGAGCCAGGGAGUCGUGGCAGGGGUGGGGCGAUGCCAGGCGGGGGAAUCGCCUUCGAGGAGGCGCAGCACCCUGGGGGGACUGAUCAUGUUUGUCUGCUGCUGCUUUUUCUCUGCUGGUGAUGGAAGCCAGAGCCCUGUGCAUACUAGGCAAGCACUGUAAUCACUGAGCCACGUCCCCUGGCCUUAUUUAUUUAUUUAUUUAGCAGUAGUGAGGGCUGCGCCCAGGGUGUACACACUGAGCAGGCUCUAGUGACUCAGAAAUUGGCGGGGACAGUGGCAGAGCCCAGUGGGAGGCAGGUUGGGUUUCAUUCUAUUUGAUCAGAUUUGUCCCAGGAAAGGAGGAAGUGCAUAGGAGUGAGUUGGGGCAAGAAGGGAGGGAGGACAUUCAAAUAGAAAACACUGCAGAUGUCCAGGGACAGCUGUUGGCACCAGCUAGGGAGGUGACUGGGUUUUUGUUUCUUUGGGGAGAGGGGGGCAUGCGGCAGACCUGGUAGACUAUGAUCUUAUUCCCCUUGCAAGCAGCUGAUGUGCAGGAGGCGCUGCUGCUAGUGUGAGGAGUUGUAUUUCUCACAGCUCAUGCUACCCACAAACUUGGGCACCCUGAAGUGAGCCCCAGCAUCAUUUCUUUAAAGUUCAAAGAUGAAAAGAAAUGAGUUAUCAAAUAUGGAAAGACAGAGCAACCCCACAACCUUAUGUGCAUCUUCUGAAUUGUGCUGGUCAGCUUUUCAUUGCUGUGACCAAAUAACUGAGAACAACACUUAAAAGAAGGAAAGGUUUAGUUUGGCUCAUGGUGUCAGAGGCUUCAGUCCAUGGUUAGCUAACUCCAAGGCAGAAACCUCACUGUGGAAGACCACGAUGGAGGAGAGCUGCCCACUGCAGAGCAGCUGGGAAGCACAGAGAGGAGGAAAGAGCCAGAGAGGAAGCAGCUGGGGACGAGAGACAGUGAUCAAGGUGGCGCAUACCCUGUGACCCGCUGUCUUCACCGAAGCCUACUUCCUGUUCCCUCACCUCCCAAUAGUACCAUCAAAUUAUUGUCUCUAUAGAUAAAGUUAGAGACCUCACAAUCUAAUAACUCCCCAAAAGCCCAUCAGCUGGCCUUUGGGGAACGUUUGAGAUCCAAAUUAUAAAAAUUAAAAGAAGCCUUUUGCAAAAGCAGCACACUGAAUGAUCCUAACUCUUGGACAUCCUACUCUGGAAGAGGCAAGACUUGGGACCAAAAGGGAAAGAAAAAGAUGAAUGCAUGGGACACAGAGCAUUUUGUAGGGCUGUGAAACUGCUCUGUGACAUUCUAAUGGGAUGCCUGACUUACACUUUUCCAAACCCCAAGACAGGACAGCACUAAGAAUGAAAAUAUAGCUGGGUGUGGUGGCUCCACGCCCGUAAUCUCAGGAAGAGGCUGAGUUAGGAGGAUUGCAGAGGGUGAGGACAGCCUGGGUUACAAAAUGAGUUCAAGGACAGCCUGAACUGCAUAAUGAAUCCCUGUCUCAAAAAGAAAAAAUUAAUGUUAAUUAUAGACUUCAGUUAAUAUUGUAUCGGAAUUGUUUCAGUUGUAAUGAAUAUGCUACACUAAAGCAAAAUGUUCAUCACUGGAAAAACUGUCAGAGAGAAGAGACAGAAAGCAAAUCUGUUCUUUCUCAGCAGUUUUUCUGCAAACUAAAAUGGUUCUAGCCAGGUGUGGUGACACAUGACUAUAAUCCUAGCACUUGGGAGGCUGAGGCAGGAGAAUUCCACAAAUGCAAGGCCAGCCUAGGCUACUUAGUGAGUUCAAGGUUAGCCUAAAUUAUAAAUUACAUAAUUAAACUCUAUCUCAAAAAACAAAAUGGUUCUAGACUUUGUUGACUGGUUGGGGGAGGGCACGUUCUUCCUGUGUAUCUAAGGCUGAACUUGAAAAGAUCCUACUUCUAGUUUCCCAGCACACCAAGCUACAGUCUUAGAAAGACAGAAGGCAAGAGCAUUUAAACUUACACUUAGGAGAGAAAAAACAAACUUAGAUUUGCUUUCCCUCCUAAGCAUUCACAAUCCAGAUGGCUUCUGAACUCACAUGUGUGAGGUCCCCCACAUGCCAGCUCUGCAGAGGACACUAGCUGAGUUAAAUUUUUGAGAAGCUCUCAGAACUCAGGGAAACACUUCACCAGUGUACUGUAAAGGAAGUUAUGAAGGUGCAGACGAAGACACCCAGAAGGCGGGCCUCCUCUGCACCCACCCCUCUUCAGGAGCCGCCGUGCAGUCACUGCCUGGAAGCUCCCAAACCCAUCUUUUUGAGUGCUCAUGGGCACUAUGUCGGUGCUCCUGAAGCACAGACAGAUGUAUAAACUGACUGCACUGACACCAGGGCCUAAGAUUUUAAAAGAAAAAAAAAAAACUGACUGCACAAAACAGUCUGGAGCCAUGAAUGCAGCUCGGUGGCAUAAGUGCCUGCCUGGCAAGUGCAAGGUCCUGAGUUCAAUUCCUAGUAAAACAAACAAACAAAACCCCUCAGGCUGCUCUAUCGCUGUGGGAAGAGCCAGCCCUUGUGUGCUCAGGGGCUUGGGCUCUGCCAUCUUCCUCCUCUUGCAGGGGGCGGGGCCCUUCUGAAGUGGGGUGUCAGGGUCUGCAACAAGGCAGGCCGGGAAAUGUCUUUCUGGCCAGCACCCAGGCAGGAAGGCAAGGGAAGAUUAGAGUAUAGUGAAAAGGAAAAACUGUACAAGAGAAAUUGUUCCUUUUAAAACUUGAUUCUUGGGCUGAGGAUUUAGCUCAGCGGUGUAAGUAUGGCAAGCAUGAGGUCGUGAAUUGGAUCCCCAGUACCAAAAAUAAAUAAGUAAAUAAAUAAAAUGUGGUUCUUUUGAAACUGUAACCGCUCUCUAAUUGCUUUCUUGACCCUGUAACCAUGAGAACAUAACCAAACGUGGGGUGCCUGAUUGUACCAUUGUACCAAGCUUCAAGACUGAUGAUCAUUAGUCUAUCCUUGUAACUGAUGAUCUCUCCUUGCUAAUCAGAGGAACAGCCAGGCUGUUCGUUUCCCUUUUGUACCUCUUGCUGGUGCAUCAUACAAAAACCCUAGACCACCA
rnacentral:lncRNA from 1 species